rnacentral:tRNA from 1 species
CCGUGAGCACCGCCUCGCCGGCGCGGGCGGCCGCGGCCUCCAGGGCCUCGGCGAGCACCGGCAGCGGGGGCUCGGCCGGUUCGCCGCCGGCGCUCGGC